GCUGCUUUGGCAACCUAUAUAUUAAAAUUUGAAUGAUAUGGAGAAGAUUUGCAUAGCCCUUUACGAGGAUGACACACAAAUUCAUAAAGCAUUUCUUUUUUUU
ensembl:snRNA U6 U6 spliceosomal RNA